GGUGAACGCUGGCGGCGUGCCUAAUACAUGCAAGUCGAGCGAACAGACGGUGAGAUUUCUCCUUUAACGGUAGCGACUGACGGAUGAGUGAGACAUAGAUAACCAUCCUAUUUUUCGUGGGGGACUACGUGAAACCGGUUCCGCUACUACAGAAUACAUCCAACGGCUUGAUGCAGUAGUUAUUCAGGCCUUUGCUGUCACUUUUAGCUGGUGUCGGAUUAGCUAGUCGGGAUGGUAAAGGCACACCAAGGCAACGAUACGUAGCUGAUCUGAGAGGAUGAUCGGCCACACUGGAACUGAGACACGGUCCAGACUCCUACGGGAGGCAGCAGUAGGGAAUAUUCGGCAAUGGGCGCAAGCCUGACGGAGCAAUGCCGCGUGAGUGAUGAAGGUCUUCGGAUCGUAAAACUCUGUUAUUGGGGAAGAAAAGAUGCGUAAGUAAACAUGGACGUUUUGACGGUACCUAAUGAGAAAGCAACGGCUAACUACGUG
rnacentral:rRNA from 1 species